ACAGAAACCAAUCAGCACUACCAGUGGUCGAUGAGAAGGUUUUCGCAAAUAUUGGAAAAGCUACAUCCCGUUUCUGUGGCCGGCGCUCUCCUGGGUGCAUCUUUGCUUCAGCAACAGAAUGGCAGCCAGUGAAGGGGCUGAAAGGAUGUAGGAAUUCCUUUGUUCAUCCCUGCAGGAUGCACAGAAAUGAAGAAAAUACAAAAAUAUGACACAUUUAGAUGCUUGGUACGCAGAAAGCCCUGGUGGUAUUACUGUGCCAAAAGAAACAGAUGAC